rnacentral:rRNA from 1 species
UAUCUUAACCAGAGCUCAUUCGUUGAAUGCACCAGUUUCGAUGGAUCACUGAAGUUAACCAACGUUGCACGUAUUUGGUAUCCGGUUGGAUUACCAUCUGGGUAAUCGCGUAAUGGAGC